AUUCUCUCCCCCCUCUGAAAGUGAGACGUGACAGAAAUGGUGGUGGCACCGGCUAGGUGCCACGUGACAGAAAUGGUAGAGUUCGCCGGAUAGGUUCUAUUUCUGGAGAGAGAGAGAGGUAGAUUUUUAUGUUUAUUAUUAAGUUAGUUUCAGCUUCUGAUAGCAGGUUAUUAAGAGUUUACUUGAGGAGAGGAUUACGGAAUUUAAUCUAAGUGGAGGAAGUCUUUGAGAUUUUUUUUUGACGUAACAGAUGUUUAUUUGAGUAUACUUGUAAGGAUAAAGUUUAUAGUGAUAAGUUGUUUUAAGUCGUUGAAUUUAUUGUAGAUUUAUAUCGGGGAUUAUUACGUGAGGAGAAUACGUUAUAAGUUAAAUGCUUAUUAGAGAUAAUGCAAGUGGUUUAAUUUAAUUGAAGUUCAUUUUAAGAUUGUAGGUUAAGAGAAUUAUAAUUUAAAAUAAAGUUUUUUGUCGUAAAUAGGAAUUAUUUUCAAGAGAAGUUUGUUUUGUUUUCGUGCGCGUAGGAGACGAGACGUACGAAUUAAAUCAGUCGAGGGAAGGAUAAACGUUAGAAAGGAAUUAAAGAGAAAACGAGAGUUUAUGUAAAAGAGAGUUAUAGAAUUUAUAGUGAUGUUUUGUUUUAAUUAGAAAAAUGUUGAGAGUUGUUUCAGAACGACACGUCAGUGGACGUGGCAGAAUGAACACGAGACGGGGAGGUGCUGAGACCUAGCGGAGAACGGAGGAACCGCAAGCGAGGGUUGGCGCACCUGAUGGAAUUCGGUGACGUCACGGGCUCAUACGGAGACGUGGACAGGCCGUGACCUUGUUUUGAUCAGCUGUACGGUAACUUAGCGAUAAGAAAAUAGACUAUUGGUUUAAUAAAUUUAAAUUUAAGUGUGUUUUAGGAGAAGAGGAACUUUCAGUAUAUUCCUUAAGAUGAGCUGAGCAGCAGUCCAGUUUACAAGAUGACAAGAGUUCGAGAGACAAGAUACAAGAUCACUGAAACAAGAGCCAAGACUGAAGAUUCAAGAGAAGAGAAAGCUGGCAGCCAUGGACUUACAAGUGGAGAUUAAUAAGGUCAUGUAAAGUUUUAUUUUUUUUAUGGAAGACAGUAACUGGAGUUUUUUUUUGUUAUAAACAUUAUUUACAGAACUUUUUAGGUUAUAGUAAUGUAAUGGAACUAGUGAGUUGUGGUAGCUGUCAAAAAGAACUAAUACCUUAAGUUUAAUUUUUAAAGUUAAUUUUCUUAAUUUACAGAGGGAUUAGUAGUUUUUUUUAAAACCUUAUUUAGGUUGGAAUUUAAAUACAAUAGCUUAUUAUAAAUGUGUACGAACAGUUCAAGUUCACAGUACUGAUAGGUAGGUCAGAUGAUCUUAUUGAUUUUGAUGAUUUGUUGUUUUGAGUUGAUUUUUAAGUGUUGUGAAUUAGACAAUGAAAUAGUUCUGAAAACUUAAAUUAUUUCAAGCUAAGAAAUAGUAAAGUUAAUUGUAACUCAAAGGACACCAGAAUUUAAUUUUUUUUUGAAUUAGUAAUGUUUGAAAAUUUUAUACUUUACAAGAAAGGUUAUAAACAAACAGAUCGGAUGGAACAAGGAUGCAGUAAAUCACAAUUUCAUUUAGAAUUAUUGAUUAGCUUUUGAGGUUAUGAAGUAAAAGUAAUUAUAGUUUAAAAGUUUGAAUAAAAAAAAAUGUUUUUUUUUUAAUUUGUUUGAAAUAGAAAGUUUAAAAGUUAAUUAGUCAUGAUCUAGGUGGGUGAUGGGGUGGGAAUUGGCCACUCUUUUUCCCUAUAACCUCCCUAACAUGGCCUUCUAUUACAUCUAACAGAAAAAAAAAAGAAGAAAAAGAAGACUUAUUAUUAGUUAGAAUGUUUUUUUAUGAAGAUACCUGAUGAACUUUUUUUUAUUGUUGGGAAGAAUAGUAGCAAGAUUAAUCAGAUGUUUUACUCAGAAGAAGAAGAAGAAGAAGAUAAAGCAGUUUUAUGACUCGACAAGCCAGAGAUUGGUGUUUCCCCUCUGCGCUUCUAUUGACUACGUUGUUUACUCUCAUGGGAUAGCUGGUUCGGCACCAUGGAGAGAGAUUGGUGGGCAUUGUGGUUGCCCCCAGAAGAAAAGAAGAGUAGAAGAGGUUAUGGGUGGGUCAUGUGAAGUGACCUUCAACCCAGUUACUUCGUGGGGACUAUUUGCUGUAUAGAGAAGAUCAAGACUCAAGAGUUAGGGAAAAUUAUUGGAGGUCAUGUUUCCCUUCCUUAAGUUUUUCCUAUCAAAUUAUUUGCCUGAUUAGAUUAUGCUAAGGGUGGGAUACUUUAUGUUAGCAGUUGAAUUAAUUAAUUUUAUUUUUUUGUGUGUUUGCAUCCUUGCCCAUCGAUUGCAGUUUAGUAGUUAGUUUUGUAUUUGUCAGGCGUGAUGGUAAUGCCUGUUGAUGAUGUUUCAGAAUUGUAAUCUGUUCGUGAUGAGGAUGGCACAACUCCGAAGCAGAUGUGGGGAGAAGUUGUGAGCUGCCCUGGAAGCCAGUCCAGUAGCUGUUGGAGUUGAGUGGUGUUUGCUGAUGGCCAGCCCAGGGAGCUACUCUUCUCGACAACACUGACUUCGAGGAGUUGCACCAACCUUCACGAGAUAAGAGUUUAAUUAAUUGAAACACUGUAAGGACACUUAAUUUUUUUUGAAGAACGAAAGAAGUAUGGUAAUAAACGGAAACCGAAAAAAAAAAAAAAAUAAUAAUUAUCAAGAAUUUGCACAUUGUUUAACGAAUACUGAGAAACUAAGAACAGUAAUUUAAUUUGUAAAGAGAGCUUCACUAACAGAACAAUUUUUUUAGAAUUGAGAACUCGAGCCUCUGAAGGUUCCUGUGAGAACAAACCAGAUAAAAGUUUUACAUUUAAUUUUAUGAAUACUUGUUGUUUUAAAAUAAAUCUUAUGCAGAAUCUAGAUGUAUGUUCAGACAGCAAGGAACUAAGAAAAUUAUUAUUUUUGUGAAAUGAGGAAUUUAUAGUUAUGGUUUAAUGGAAAAAGACAAUUUGUAAUUUUGAGGUAGCUCGAUGGGGCUCGAGCUCUGUGAGGGGAGGGUUAUGUCGCGGGUUGAAAUUUUGCAGGGUUGUUGAAAUCAAAUUUAGGGACUUUACUGACGGGACUCUGGGCUGGCUGCUCUGUUCACUCGUCAGCGCAAGUGGCGUGACCAUGUAAUUGGGGCACGGGGCCGGCGCGGCGCGCUGCGGGCUUGCAGAAUUUUGUUUGUUUGUUUGGCCGCGCGCUGGCGCAGCCACGGGCCGCAGUUACUGGGGCGCGCUGUCGUAACAAGCCGCGCGGUGUGGCCUGCACAUCGGGGUAGAGGGGGGGUAGUCUUCCCAGAUGUUCUAGUUAGUUGUUUAGUAAAUUUGACUUCAAUAACGAGCUUUUGUUAUGGUAGGCGCGGCAGGGCGCGCGAAUUUAAGCGCAAGUGAGUGGUGACUCGGGGCUCACUCAGGCGGAGGCUAUGCGUCUCACCUGUGGUCACGAGUUGUUAGUUCGUUCGUGAUGUAGGAAUUCAGGCUCACUCAGGCGGAGGCUAUGCGUCUCACCUGUGGUCACGAGUUGUUAGUUCGUUCGUGAUGUAGGAAUUCAGGCUCUCGGGCGGAAGCUAUGGCCGACGCCAGAGGCCACGAGUCGUUUAAUUUAAGUUAGGUCAUAAUGUAGUCAUCUUCAAGCUUUCGGGCGGAGGCAAUGGCCUUUGUCACUAGUCGUUUAGUUAUAAUUUUUAAAAUGUAAUGUUCGUUCGGAUUUUAAGGGCAGGAGAGGCCCCUACGUUAUUUUUUUAAAGUAAUCGAUCAAGAAAGGCUUUUCGGAAAAUGUGAGUAUGGACUUAUCUUUGUUUUAAUUUUAAGUAUUAAUUAUGAUUUGAGGUAUUCGGAAGGACUAGGGAAGUGUUUAGUGAAGUUCUCUCAUUCUCUCUCUUGUAAGGUCGUUCGUUCAAUCGUUAAGGAAGUAAAGAGAUUAUUGUUUUAAAUUGUAAUCCCGCUAUUUAAAUGUUCUUUAAAAUGAUGUUGAGUAUUUGACUUUAAGAAUAAAAUAAUUUUAAUUAA